GCCGCCCCCUCCGUCAACCGAGGCGAUCGAGGACUCGGAAGACACCGAAGAGGUUCUUCCUGAACCUCAAUCAAAGAGACCUCGGUUGUCGGAAGGUUCCGAUCAGCCGACAGGUGAGAUGGUGGUCCCCGGUCUGGACCGUUCCGCCACUCCUUCUUCCGGUCCCAGCUCUUCUUGGGGAUCACCAACCACCUGUUGGCCCAAGAGCCCGUCGGAGGUCUUCCCUUUUCCCUCUUCGAUCACUUCAAACUACCUAGUGACGAUGACCGGUUUAAAGGGUACUCUCCCGACCAGUUCUUGGUGGCCUAUGUUCGAGCUCAGACCCAGGUAAUUCCCUUUGUCAAUCUGAUUGCUUCUCUUAACUUUGACCUUUCGUUCUUGUACUGAUGUGUGUGUUUACUGCAGGCCAACGCUAUACUUGCCCGAGCCAUCCCUCCCCUCGCCCGAUCCACAAAGAAAGAAGUUCAGCUUGGGACG
rnacentral:lncRNA from 1 species